AAUGAACGCUGGCGGCGCGCCUAAUACAUGCAAGUCGAGCGAGAAGACGUAGCAAUACGUUUGUAAAGCGGCGAACGGGUGAGGAAUACAUGGGUAACCUACCCUCGAGUGGGGAAUAACUAGCCGAAAGGUUAGCUAAUACCGCGUACGCUUCUUGGACUUCGGUUCAGGGAGGAAAGCGAUGCCGAGGGUAUCGCGCUCUUGGAUGGGCUCAUGUCCUAUCAGCUUGUUGGGAGGUAACGGCUCACCAAGGCUUCGACGGGUAGCUGGUCUGAGAGGACGAUCAGCCACACUGGCACUGCGACACGGGCCAGACUCCUACGGGAGGCAGCAGUAAGGAAUAUUGCGCAAUGGGCGAAAGCCUGACGCAGCGACGCCGCGUGGGGGAGUGAA
rnacentral:rRNA from 1 species